rnacentral:miRNA from 1 species
CUCGUUCCUUCCUUUCUUCCAG